UUCGCUCUGUAAGAGGAAAUCUGACUUCAUGUUCUCAGGAUUUUGGCUUCAAGGUGCACGAUGCCAUCAGCUCUCUGAUUUUCCCCACCUUGUAAACAGCAUAUCUUGGAACACCUCACCCUUCAGAUUCAUGUGUCAAUUCCUAUGCUAAUGACCUUUUUUACAUUUAUGUUUUUCUUUGAUCCUGCCUUUCUGGACUCGUACAACAUCCUUCUCAGAUAACACGGAAGCCAUUCUAUUCUUCCAGUGCAAGUACAAUCUCUGAAAUAAGACAUAGAUAUGCCUGCCAUCAACAAUUUUUUUAUUUUCACCUGAGGGAAAUUCAGACUGCAAAGCUGAGAUGACCCUCUAAGAGACAACAAACAUAUAAGAUGUCAUUAGGGACUACAAAGGCAUGCUAUUGAGGCAAAAUUUCCACCUAAAUUUGAGGAAAUUAAUAACUCUUCAUGAUUUAACUAUAAUAAAGAGAAAAAACUAUCAAG